AUUUUGUCUGCUCCUUAAUGUACACGUGGCUGGCCAAGAAGGGAAGAUGGAGCCGCCAUUUUCUAGCUGCCAUGUCUAGUCCCAGGUAGUUCUUUCCUGCCGGCAUUCACCGUGAAAGCUCCCAGCGUGCUUGUCUAUGUCUGCAGCUCAACUUCACAGGCUGCUCUUUGUUAGAAAAUGAUUUGGGGCAGCUUUUCAUUAAAAGAAAAACGUUACCAAGGACUUCUGGACUAUCUGCCUAAAUCUAUGCCUUGAUAGGUCUUCAGUUACUCAUGGUGAAACAUGUAAGCCUUGAAAAACUUUUUGAUAGAGGGAGCCCAAGCCAAGAAGAGAGGUCUGGUAUCAAAGAUUUGCUGAAUUCACAAUUGAAGAGGCUUAUGUCAGUCCCUUAGAAAGAAUUUGAGGACUCCUCGGAAAAUUGCUGAGUUGAGUAAAUAUUUCCUUCCAUAAAGGUAAAUAAGCAUCUCAAGAGCAAGUUUCUACAUUUUGUAUUUCCCUGUUUUAUUUCUGUAAAAUUGUGCAACCAAGAAUUAUGACCUACUGAUAUUAGAAUAAAA
rnacentral:lncRNA from 1 species